rnacentral:rRNA from 1 species
AGUGAACGCUGGCGGUAGGCCUAACACAUGCAAGUCGAACGGCAGCACAGUAAGAGCUUGCUCUUACGGGUGGCGAGUGGCGGACGGGUGAGGAAUACAUCGGAAUCUACUUUUUCGUGGGGGAUAACGUAGGGAAACUUACGCUAAUACCGCAUACGACCUACGGGUGAAAGCAGGGGAUCUUCGGACCUUGCGCGAUUGAAUGAGCCGAUGUCGGAUUAGCUAGUUGGCGGGGUAAAGGCCCACCAAGGCGACGAUCCGUAGCUGGUCUGAGAGGAUGAGCAGCCACACUGGAACUGAGACACGGUCCAGACUCCUACGGGAGGCAGCAGUGGGGAAUAUUGGACAAUGGGCGCAAGCCUGAUCCAGCCAUACCGCGUGGGUGAAGAAGGCCUUCGGGUUGUAAAGCCCUUUUGUUGGGAAAGAAAAGCAGCAGGUUAAUACCCCGCUGUUCUGACGGUACCCAAAGAAUAAGCACCGGCUAACUUCGUGC